AGUGAACGCUGGCGGUAGGCCUAACACAUGCAAGUCGAACGGCCGCACAGUAAGAUCUUGCUCUUACUGUUGGCGAGUGGCGGAUGGGUGAGGAAUACAUCGGCAUCUACUUUUUCUUGGGUGAUAACGUGGAGAAACUUCCGCUACUACCUCAUACGACCUACGGCUUAAAUCAUGAGUUCUUCAGACCUUUCCCGACUGUUUUAGCCGAUGUCGGAUUAGCUAGUUGGCGUGGUAAAGUCCCACCAAGGCGACGAUCCGUAGCUGGGCUGAGAGGAUGAUCAGCCACACUGGAACUGAGACACGGUCCAGACUCCUACGGGAGGCAGCAGUGGGGAAUAUUGGACAAUGGGCGCAAGCCUGAUCAAGCAAUACCGCGUGGGUGAAGAAGGCCUUCGGAUUGUAAAGCACUUUUGUUAGGAAAGAAAAGAAGUAGGUGAAAACAUCGAUGUUCUGACGGUACCCAAAGAAUAAGCAACGGCUAACUUCGUG
rnacentral:rRNA from 1 species